AGUGGCGAACUGGUGAGUAACACGUGGGAAACCUGCCCAGAAGCGGGGGAUAACACCUGGAAACAGAUGCUAAUACCGCAUAACAACUUGGACCGCAUGGUCCGAGUUUGAAAGAUGGCUUCGGCUAUCACUUUUGGAUGGUCCCGCGGCGUAUUAGCUAGAUGGUGGGGUAACGGCUCACCAUGGCAAUGAUACGUAGCCGACCUGAGAGGGUAAUCGGCCACAUUGGGACUGAGACACGGCCCAAACUCCUACGGGAGGCAGCAGUAGGGAAUCUUCCACAAUGGACGAAAGUCUGAUGGAGCAACGCCCGGUGAGUGAAGAAGGGUUUCGGCUCGUAAAACUCUGUUGUUAAAGAAGAACAUAUCUGAGAGUAACUGUUCAGGUAUUGACGGUAUUUAACCAGAAAGCCACGGCUAACUACGUGCCAGCAGCCGCGGUAAUACGUAGGUGGCAAGCGUUGUCCGGAUUUAUUGGGCGUAAAGCGAGCGCAGGCGGUUUUUUAAGUCUGAUGUGAAAGCCUUCGGCUCAACCGAAGAAGUGCAUCGGAAACUGGGAAACUUGAGUGCAGAAGAGGACAGUGGAACUCCAUGUGUAGCGGUGAAAUGCGUAGAUAUAUGGAAGAACACCAGUGGCGAAGGCGGCUGUCUGGUCUGUAACUGACGCUGAGGCUCGAAAGUAUGGGUAGCAAACAGGAUUAGAUACCCUGGUAGUCCAUACCGUAAACGAUGAAUGCUAAGUGUUGGAGGGUUUCCGCCCUUCAGUGCUGCAGCUAACGCAUUAAGCAUUCCGCCUGGGGAGUACGGCCGCAAGGCUGAAACUCAAAGGAAUUGACGGGGGCCCGCACAAGCGGUGGAGCAUGUGGUUUAAUUCGAAGCUACGCGAAGAACCUUACCAGGUCUUGACAUACUAUGCAAAUCUAAGAGAUUAGACGUUCCCUUCGGGGACAUGGAUACAGGUGGUGCAUGGUUGUCGUCAGCUCGUGUCGUGAGAUGUUGGGUUAAGUCCCGCAACGAGCGCAACCCUUAUUAUCAGUUGCCAGCAUUAAGUUGGGCACUCUGGUGAGACUGCCGGUGACAAACCGGAGGAAGGUGGGGAUGACGUCAAAUCAUCAUGCCCCUUAUGACCUGGGCUACACACGUGCUACAAUGGAUGGUACAACGAGUUGCGAACUCGCGAGAGUAAGCUAAUCUCUUAAAGCCAUUCUCAGUUCGGAUUGUAGGCUGCAACUCGCCUACAUGAAGUCGGAAUCGCUAGUAAUCGCGGAUCAGCAUGCCGCGGUGAAUACGUUCCCGGGCCUUGUACACACCGCCCGUCACACCAUGAGAGUUUGUAACACCCAAAGUCGGUGGGGU
rnacentral:rRNA from 2 species